rnacentral:rRNA from 1 species
GAUGGGUAGCCGGCCUGAGAGGGUGACCGGCCACACUGGGACUGAGAUACGGCCCAGACUCCUACGGGAGGCAGCAGUCGAGAAGCUUCGGCAAUGGGCGAAAGCCUGACCGAGCGACGCCGCGUGAGCGAAGAAGGCCCUAUGGGUUGUAAAGCUCUGUCAGAUUGGGAAGAAAACCUUACGGUUAAUACCCGUGAGGCUUGACGGUACCUUCAGAGGAAGCACCGGCUAACUCCGUGCCAGCAGCCGCGGUAAUACGGAGGGUGCAAGCGUUGUUCGGAUUCACUGGGUAUAAAGGGUGCGCAGGCGGCCUGAUAAGUCAGGGGUGAAAUAUGACGGCUCAACCGUCAAACUGCCCCUGAAACUGCCAGGCUUGAGUCCGGGAGAGGUAGGUGGAAUUCCAGGUGUAGCGGUGAAAUGCGUAAAUAUCUGGAGGAACACCGGUGGCGAAGGCGGCCUACUGGCCCGGAACUGACGCUCAGGCACGAAAGCUAGGGGAGCGAACGGGAUUAGAUACCCCGGUAGUCCUAGCCGUAAACGAUGGGCACUAGGUGUUGGAGGAGUCUACCCCUUCAGUGCCGCAGCUAACGCAUUAAGUGCCCCACCUGGGGAGUACGAUCGCAAGGUUGAAACUCAAAGGAAUUGACGGGGGCCCGCACAAGCGGUGGAGCAUGUGGUUUAAUUCGAUGCAACGCGAAGAACCUUACCUGGACUUGACAUGCAGGGGACAGGUGUAGAAAUACACCCUUCUUCGGACCCUUGUACAGGUGCUGCAUGGCUGUCGUCAGCUCGUGUCGUGAAAUGUUGGGUUAAGUCCCGCAACGAGCGCAACCCCUGUUUUCAGUUGCCAUCAGGUUAUGCUGGGGACUCUGGAGAGACUGCCGGUGACAAACCGGAGGAAGGUGGGGACGACGUCAAGUCAUCAUGGCCCUUACGUCCAGGGCUACACACGUGCUACAAUGGCUGGUACAAAGGGCUGCAAUACUGCGAAGUGGAGCGAAUCCCAAAAAGCCAGCCUCAGUUCGGAUUGGAGUCUGCAACUCGACUCCAUGAAGUUGGAAUCGCUAGUAAUCGCGUAUCAGAACGACGCGGUGAAUACGUUCCCGGGCCUUGUACACACCGCCCGUCAAGUCAACCGAGUUGGCUGCACCCCAAGUCGCUGAGCUAACCCGUAAGGGAGGCAGGUGCCCAAGGUGUGGUUGAUAAGGGGGACUAAGUCGUAACAAGGUA